rnacentral:rRNA from 1 species
UACGAAGGGUGCAAGCGUUACUCGGAAUUACUGGGCGUAAAGCGUGCGUAGGUGGUUUGUUAAGUCCGAUGUGAAAGCCCUGGGCUCAACCUGGGAAUGGCAUUGGAUACUGGCAGGCUAGAGUGCGGUAGAGGGCAGUGGAAUUCCCGGUGUAGCAGUGAAAUGCGUAGAGAUCGGGAGGAACAUCUGUGGCGAAGGCGACUGCCCGGACCAGCACUGACACUGAGGCACGAAAGCGUGGGGAGCAAACAGG